AUUGAACGCUCGCGGGAUGCUUUACACAUGCAAGUCGAACGGCAGCGCGGACUUCGGUCUGGCGGCGAGUGGCGAACGGGUGAGUAAUGUAUCGGAACGUGCCCAGUAGCGGGGGAUAACUACGCGAAAGCGUAGCUAAUACCGCAUACGCCCUACGGGGGAAAGCAGGGGAUCGUAAGACCUUGCACUAUUGGAGCGGCCGAUAUCGGAUUAGCUAGUUGGUGAGGUAACGGCUCACCAAGGCGACGAUCCGUAGCUGGUUUGAGAGGACGACCAGCCACACUGGGACUGAGACAUGGCCCAGACUCCUACGGGAGGCAGCAGUGGGGAAUUUUGGACAAUGGGGGCAAGCCUGAUCCAGCCAUCCCGCGUGUGCGAUGAAGGCCUUCGGGUUGUAAAGCACUUUUGGCAGGAAAGAAACGUCGCGGGCUAAUACCCCGUGGAACUGACGGUACCUGCAGAAUAAGCACCGGCUAACUACGUG
rnacentral:rRNA from 1 species